UGGGGCGUCGCCAAGCGGUAAGGCACCGGGUUUUGAUCCCGGCAUUCGCAGGUUCGAAUCCUGCCGCCCCAGCCA
rnacentral:tRNA from 9 species